CAGUCGCCACGGUAAUACGUAGGGUGCGAGCGUUAAUCGGAAUUACUGGGCGUAAAGCGUGCGCAGGCGGUUGUGUAAGACGGGUGUGAAAUCCCCGGGCUUAACCUGGGAACUGCGCUUGUGACUGCACAGCUAGAGUAUGGCAGAGGGGGGUGGAAUUCCACGUGUAGCAGUGAAAUGCGUAGAGAUGUGGAGGAACACCGAUGGCGAAGGCAGCCCCCUGGGCCAAUACUGACGCUCAUGCACGAAAGCGUGGGGAGCAAACAGGAUUAGAUACCCCGGUAGUCCCUGUCUCUUAUAC
rnacentral:rRNA from 1 species